rnacentral:piRNA from 1 species
UAGGCAUAUACAACUCGUGGCAGUGAUGG